AACGAACGCUGGCGGCAUGCCUAAUACAUGCAAGUCGAACGAAUGCCCUUGGGGGUGUUAGUGGCGCACGGGUGCGUAACGCGUGGGUAUCUGCCCUUGGGUUCGGAAUAACAGUUAGAAAUGACUGCUAAUACCGGAUGAUGACGUAAGUCCAAAGAUUUAUCGCCCAGGGAUGAGCCCGCGUAGGAUUAGCUAGUUGGUGGGGUAAAGGCCUACCAAGGCGACGAUCCUUAGCUGGUCUGAGAGGAUGAUCAGCCACACUGGGACUGAGACACGGCCCAGACUCCUACGGGAGGCAGCAGUAGGGAAUAUUGGACAAUGGGCGAAAGCCUGAUCCAGCAAUGCCGCGUGAGUGAUGAAGGCCUUAGGGUUGUAAAGCUCUUUUACCCGAGAUGAUAAUGACAGUAUCGGGAGAAUAAGCUCCGGCUAACUCCGUGC
rnacentral:rRNA from 1 species